rnacentral:misc_RNA from 1 species
CCACCUGCUUCGCGUGACAUAAAAUACAUGCCAAGUGAGAGAAAUAUUAAAUUGUAUUAUCUAGCUGUCUAUUUAUUUAUUAUGAACGGAUUUUACGAAAUUAACACACCCUCAACUACUUAGGGUCUUAUUGAUUUAAAUGAGUUAAAAUAAUAAAUAACAUAGCUUUCCACAUCACCAUGGAGGUACUAUGUCGUAAGAUGCGUUUCCAUUAUUUUACAUGGCGUAAUCCCCAGUAGGCCUACACCAUGGAUUGACAGACAACCUCACGGAAGCUUGCAGGGUGAUUAAAGGAACGGAAGUGCCCUAACCGUCAUUUCCAAAUUUGGGAAGAAUUGAAGAGAGAAAACGAUGAUUAUAAGCCGAUGAUUAUAAGUUCAACAACCACAAGCAUCAUUAUCUUAGAAAUAGACUAUUAUUAUUCACUACAUUAUUGAUAGUUAUACUUCAAUAAAUAAAUUUUUGACUAUUUUGCUCAUACUUAUAUUCUAGUUCAAUAAACAUAUGAAGUGAUGGAUACUGAUUUUAAAUAGAUUACAGUGGUCAUAAUUAUGUAUAAUUCUGUAUGUGAAUAUGUACUUGGAUGUGCCAAAAAUCAAA